rnacentral:rRNA from 1 species
UACAGAGGUCCCAAGCGUUGUUCGGAUUCACUGGGCGUAAAGGGUGCGUAGGCGGUCGGGUAAGUCUGAUGUGAAAUCUCACAGCUUAACUGUGAAACUGCAUUGGAUACUAUUCGGCUUGAGAGUUGGAGGGGGGACUGGAAUUCUUGGUGUAGCAGUGAAAUGCGUAGAUAUCAGGAGGAACACCGGCGGCGAAGGCGGGUCUCUGGGCCAUAACUGACGCUGAGGAGCGAAAGCGUGGGGAGCAAAAGGG